rnacentral:rRNA from 1 species
ACAUGCCUACAACAUAGCGUUAAUGCAUCGGAUCCCAUUAGAAAUCUAUAGUUAAGUUCACUUGGGCUAGAGUAGCACAGGGAUGGGUGAACGCCCGGGAAGUACUAGUAUUUUACAUGCC